rnacentral:rRNA from 1 species
GGGCCGCGGUAAUUUAACCGUGAGAAGGUAGCAUAAGCAUUUGACUUUUGAUUGGAGGCUUGUAUGAAUGGUUGGAUGAGAAAUAAUCUGUCUUUUUUUGUUUANUGAAUUUAACUUUUAAGUGAAAAGGCUUAAAUUUUCUGGUGGGACGAUAAGACCCUAUAAAAUUUUAUAUCUAUUUACUUUAUUAUUAAAAUUUAAAUUGAAGUGGGAUUUUUUAAGUGGAUAUUUUGUUGGGGCGACAAUGAUAUAAUUCUAACUGUCAUUUAAAAGUUAAUAGUUAUUGCUAGUUUCUGAUCCUGUAUUACUGAUUAAAAGAUUAAAUUACUUUAGGGAUAACAGCGUGAUUUUCUUUGAGAGUUCUUAUCGACAAGAGUAGUUGCGACCUCGAUGUUGAAUUAAGAUGUUAGUCAGGUGUAGCAGCUUGUCUGGUGGGUCUGUUCGACCUUUAAAAUUUU